UGUAAACAUCCCAUCAAGUCAAUAUCCUUUAUCCAUAGAUCUAGUGAUGAAAGAUGUACCCGACAGGACACUGUUCUUUUAGAAACAAAAUGCUAGACGUGAUCUAAUACUUGGCGAGUGCUUCACUACAGAUUCUGUUAAGAAUUCGUAACAUCCUCAUUGUAUGUUUACUCGCCACAUCCUAUGACGAAGUACAUACAACUUGAAAAAAAAAAUGGAAAACAUUUAGGCCUCUAAGUAACAGAAAAACGAAAAAAGCGAGAACCCAUUAAGGUAAGAGCCGGAGCGACGGCGAUACCUUCGAUUGUAGUACUGCCGGAGAUCGUGAGGUGCCGACAGAGUACCGACUCUGAAUUUCAAUUUUGGGAGAAACGUAACUUGUGGGUGUAGAGAGAUUUAGGGGAGAAAGGCUGCAUUUUUCUUCGGCAAUCGUUUAGGUUUUCUUUCUUUUCUUUUCUUUUCCUUUUUUUCCUUUUGUGUUUUUUACUGUGCUGCGUCAACCUGGACUUGAUCCUGUUUUCUACCCUGUCCUGUGGCGG
rnacentral:lncRNA from 1 species